UACGUAGGGUGCGAGCGUUAAUCGGAAUUACUGGGCGUAAAGCGUGCGCAGGCGGUUAUUUAAGUCAGGUGUGAAAGCCCUGGGCUUAACCUAGGAAUUGCGCUUGAGACUGGAUAGCUUGGAGUGCGGCAGAGGGAGGUGGAAUUCCACGUGUAGCAGUGAAAUGCGUAGAUAUCUGGAGGAAUACCGGUGGCGAAGGCGGCAUCCUGGACCGGCAUUGACGCUGAGGAGCGAAAGCCAGGGGAGCAAACGGG
rnacentral:rRNA from 1 species